AUUGAACGCUGGCGGCAGGCCUAACACAUGCAAGUCGAGCGGAUGAAGCGAGCUUGCUCCUGGAUUCAGCGGCGGACGGGUGAGUAAUGCCUAGGAAUCUGCCUGGUAGUGGGGGAUAACGUCCGGAAACGGGCGCUAAUACUGCAUCCGUCCUGUGGUCGACAGUGGGGGAGCUUCGGACCUCACGCCAUCAGAUGAGCCUAGGUCGGAUUAGCUAGUUGGUGGGGUAAAGGCCUAACAAGGCGACGAUCCGUAACUGGUCUGAGAGGAUGAUCAGUCACACUGGAACUGAGGAACGGUCCAGACUCCUACAGGAGGAAGCAGUGCGGAAUAUUGGACGAUGGGCGAAAGCCGGAUACAGCCAUGCCGCGUGUAUGAAGAAGGUCUUCGGAUUGUAAAGCACUUUAAGUUGGGAGGAAGGACAGUAAGUUAAUACCUUGCUGUUUUGACGUUACCAACAGAAUAAGCACCGGCUAACUUCGUG
rnacentral:rRNA from 1 species